rnacentral:rRNA from 1 species
GACGAACGCUGGCGGCGUGCUUAACACAUGCAAGUCGAACGGAAAGGCCUGCUUUCCCUUGUGGAUUGCGGGUACUCGAGUGGCGAACGGGUGAGUAACACGUGAGUGAUCUGCCCCCAACUUGGGUAUAAGCCUGGGAAACUGGGUCUAAUUCCCGAUAGGACUGCAGGGUGGUGCCUGUGGUGGAAAACGAUUUUCUAGUGGUUGGGGAUGAGCUCGCGGCCUAUCAGCUUGUUGGUGGGGUAAUGGCCUACCAAGGCGGCGACGGGUAGCCGGCCUGGGAGGGUGGACGGCCACAUUGGGACUGAGAUACGGCCCAGACUCCUACGGGAGGCAGCAGUGGGGAAUAUUGCACAAUGGGCGGAAGCCUGAUGCAGCGACGCCGCGUGGGGGAUGACGGCCUUCGGGUUGUAAACUCCUUUCGACCGCGAGGAAGCCACCUGGUUGGAAGGGUGGUGACGGUAGUGGGAGAAGAAGCACCGGCUAACUACGUG